CUUGGUUUCUACGGAGUUAAGGGUGAAAAGGGUGACGUAGGGCAGCCGGGACCCAACGGGAUUCCAUCAGACACCCUCCACCCCAUCAUCGCGCCCACAGGAGUCACCUUCCACCCAGAUCAGUACAAGGGUGAAAAAGGCAGUGAGGGGGAACCAGGAAUAAGAGGCAUUUCCUUGAAGGGAGAAGAAGGAAUCAUGGGCUUUCCUGGACUGAGGGGUUACCCUGGCUUGAGUGGUGAAAAAGGAUCACCAGGACAGAAGCCGAGGCCUGGAUGGCUAUCAAGGGCCUGAUGGACCCCGGGGACCCAAGGGAGAAGCCGGAGACCCAGGGCCCCCUGGACUACCUGCCUACUCCCCUCACCCUUCCCUAGCAAAAGGUGCCAGAGGUGACCCGGGAUUCCCAGGGGCCCAAGGGGAGCCAGGAAGCCAGGGUGAGCCAGGAGACCCGGGCCUCCCAGGUCCCCCUGGCCUCUCCAUCGGAGAUGGAGAUCAGAGGAGAGGCCUGCCGGGUGAGAUGGGACCCAAGGGCUUCAUCGGAGACCCCGGCAUCCCUGCGCUCUACGGGGGCCCACCUGGACCUGAUGGAAAGCGAGGGCCUCCAGGACCCCCCGGGCUCCCUGGACCACCUGGACCUGAUGGCUUCCUGUUUGGGCUGAAAGGAGCAAAAGGAAGAGCAGGCUUCCCUGGGCUUCCCGGCUCCCCUGGAGCCCGCGGACCAAAGGGGUGGAAAGGUGACGCUGGGGAAUGCAGAUGUACAGAAGGCGACGAAGCUAUCAAAGGUCUUCCGGGACUGCCAGGACCCAAGGGCUUCGCAGGCAUCAACGGGGAGCCGGGGAGGAAAGGGGACAGAGGAGACCCCGGCCAACACGGCCUCCCUGGGUUCCCAGGGCUCAAGGGAGUGCCUGGCAACAUUGGUGCUCCCGGACCCAAAGGAGC
rnacentral:lncRNA from 1 species